rnacentral:rRNA from 1 species
GAUUUGGCGGACGGGUGAGUAACACGUGGGUAACCUGCCCAUAAGACUGGGAUAACUCCGGGAAACCGGGGCUAAUACCGGAUAACAUUUUGAACCGCAUGGUUCGAAAUUGAAAGGCGGCUUCGGCUGUCACUUAUGGAUGGACCCGCGUCGCAUUAGCUAGUUGGUGAGGUAACGGCUCACCAAGGCAAUGAUGCGUAGCCGACCUGAGAGGGUGAUCGGCCACACUGGGACUGAGACACGGCCCAGACUCCUACGGGAGGCAGCAGUAGGGAAUCUUCCGCAAUGGACGAAAGUCUGACGGAGCAACGCCGCGUGAGUGAUGAAGGCUUUCGGGUCGUAAAACUCUGUUGUUAGGGAAGAACAAGUGCUAGUUGAAUAAGCUGGCACCUUGACGGUACCUAACCAGAAAGCCACGGCUAACUACGUGCCAGCAGCCGCGGUAAUAAU